GGCGAUCCGCGGAUACGUCGCCCCGCCCAAUGCGGGGUUGUCCGUACGAAGAUAUCGACGAGUCGCUGCGCGGAAGACUUAUGAGAGAUGCGGAAAGGCGGAGACACAGAUGGUUUGGUAAAAGGAUAUGGGUCAAAAUGAAUG
ensembl:ncRNA F23H12.13 ncRNA